UACGUAGGGUGCAAGCGUUAAUCGGAAUUACUGGGCGUAAAGCGUGCGCAGGCGGCUAUGCAAGACAGAUGUGAAAUCCCCGGGCUCAACCUGGGAACUGCAUUUGUGACUGCAUGGCUAGAGUACGGUAGAGGGGGAUGGAAUUCCGCGUGUAGCAGUGAAAUGCGUAGAUAUGCGGAGGAACACCGAUGGCGAAGGCAGCCCCCUGGGAUGAUACUGACGCUCAUGCACGAAAGCGUGGGGAGCAAACAGG
rnacentral:rRNA from 1 species